CUAUGGAUGACUUUGAAAUGGAUAAGACGAUGAGCCAAGUUUUUGAAGUUAAGAGUAGACCACACCCUCUCCCAGUCGACCGACAAAUCAAAAUCUGUUAAUUCACGAUUCCAUAUAUGUCUAAUAGAAAGAGGUUUUGUAGUGUGAUCAUUAAGUUUACUAUAUAUUAAAGAAACAGAUGGCUGACCAGAGGAUGGUGUGAUCCAAUCCCACAUAGGAUGAGAAGAAAUAAAUCUGCUAAACCUAAAGUAAAGACUGUAAAGAGAUGGACCAAUGAAACAGAGUGUGCUUUAAAAGCCUGCUUCGACCUCACUGAUUGGAGUGUUUUUGGAUCAUUCACAUCUUGAUUGGAUUGUUCACAUCAGGUGCCGAUACAGGAUGGCUGCCUCCGUGACCUGCUCUGCAGUUGUUUUUGUUAGUUUGUCCUGUCUUUAGUUAUAUUCCUGCAAUCAGUUUCACCAGAGACGGAUUACUGGAUAUUCGGCACCACACAUCUCCCGAUAUAUUACCGGUUUUCGACUAUUCUGAUGUUUUGCUGGACAUUCUCGUCGGCGGAUCAGCUGCGCUGUUCACACGCUUCAGGACGCGAAGACAGGGAAAAAGGGCUGCCGCACUCGUGAGACUCAGAAAACGUGGAUUUCGAACACCGUUGCCUAGCAUCGAUCUGGCAAAUCUCCGCUCUCUACCCAACAAAACGGAUGAACUCCUUCUGCUCUCCCGGACAAAUAAGGUUUUCUCACACUUUGCUGCUCUGUGUUUCCCGGAAACUUGGCUAAACGACGCCAUUCUAGACAGAGCGCUCCAUCUGCCGGGCUUUCAGCUGGUCAGAGUGGACCGCGACGCAAAAUCAACAGGGAAAUCGCGCGGCGGUGGGACAUGCUUUUACAUCAACGAAAGGUGGAGUACAGAUGUAACACUGUUAAAGAAGAUGUGCUGUUCAGAUCUAGAAACACUCUUCAUUAACUGCAAGCCAUUCUAUUCGCCGCAGGAGUUUCACUCGUUCAUUCUGGUGAGUGUUUACAUCCCUCCGCAAGCGCACAUGAGCCUGGCUUUACAGAAACUCACAGAGACAAAACAACAACACCCGGACUCUGUUUUAAUCAUUCUCGGGGACUUUAAUAAAGCAAAUCUCUCCCAUGAACUGCCAAAAUACAGACAGCACAUCACAUGUCCCACUGGAGACAGUAAUAUAUUGGAUCACUGUUACACCACAAUAAAGGAUGCAUAUCACUCUGUUCUACGGGCAGCCUUGGGG
ensembl:lncRNA